GCCGGUUUGGCUCAGUGGAUAGAGCGUCAGCCUGCGGACUGAAAGGUCCCAGGUUCAAUUCCUGUUAAGGGCA
rnacentral:tRNA from 1 species